rnacentral:rRNA from 1 species
AGUGAACGCUGGCGGUGGGCCUAACACAUGCAAGUCGAACGGCAGCACAGUAAGAGCUUGCUCUUACGGGUGGCGAGUGGCGGACGGGUGAGGAAUACAUCGGAAUCUACUUUUUCGUGGGGGAUAACGUAGGGAAACUUACGCUAAUACCGCAUACGACCUACGGGUGAAAGCAGGGGAUCUUCGGACCUUGCGCGAUUGAAUGAGCCGAUGUCGGAUUAGCUAGUUGGCGGGGUAAAGGCCUACCAAGGCGACGAUCCGUAGCUGGUCUGAGAGGAUGAUCAGCCACACUGGAACUGAGACACGGUCCAGACUCCUACGGGAGGCAGCAGUGGGGAAUAUUGGACAAUGGGCGCAAGCCUGAUCCAGCCAUACCGCGUGGGUGAAGAAGGCCUUCGGGUUGUAAAGCCCUUUUGUUGGGAAAGAAAAGCAGCAGGUUAAUACCCCGCUGUUCUGACGGUACCCAAAGAAUAAGCACCGGCUAACUUCGUG